CAGCCGCCGCGGUAAUACGGAGGAUCCAAGCGUUAUCCGGAAUCAUUGGGUUUAAAGGGUCCGUAGGCGGUCUUGUAAGUCAGUGGUGAAAGCCCAUCGCUCAACGGUGGAACGGCCAUUGAUACUGCAGGACUUGAAUUAUUGGGAAGUAACUAGAAUAUGUAGUGUAGCGGUGAAAUGCUUAGAGAUUACAUGGAAUACCAAUUGCGAAGGCAGGUUACUACCAAUUGAUUGACGCUGAUGGACGAAAGCGUGGGUAGCGAACAGGAUUAGAUACCCCCCGUAGUCCCUGUCUCUUAUA
rnacentral:rRNA from 1 species